UACGUAGGGUGCAAGCGUUGUCCGGAAUUAUUGGGCGUAAAGAGCUCGUAGGCGGUCUGUCGCGUCUGCUGUGAAAACCUAGGGCUUAACUCUGGGCGUGCAGUGGGUACGGGCAGGCUAGGAGUGCGGUAGGGGAGACUGGAAUUCCUGGUGUAGCGGUGAAAUGCGCAGAUAUCAGGAGGACACCGGUGGCGAAGGCGGGUCUCUGGGCCGUAACUGACGCUGGAGGAGCGAAAGCAUGGGGAGCGAACAGG
rnacentral:rRNA from 1 species